GGCCCACAUUGCUACCUCUUCUAAUCACCACCUUUGAUGAUAUCGACGUCGCGUUCCUCUCCUUCCUCUGUGAUCAGAAAAUUGAUCUGAGCCAGUGAACACUUUGCCGAGUUUCUCAACCAUAGAACAACCUAUGAGUAUUCUAAUCGCCUACUCUCUUUGAAGACCAAACAGUUCACGAUCGACCUGAAACACAAGUAAUUCUGAUGACAACUUCGCCGAGUUGCUUCGCCGCUGAAUCACUCACUACUCCUUCUCUUUGUCUUUGCCGUUUGUCCAUCUCGAAGAUUAAACCAGAACGGCUCGUACGCCGCUACUCCGUCUUCAACCUUUCUCGCCUUGAUUCCAGAGAUCAAUUCUACUACCCAAAUUCUCCAGCUCGUUUUUGAAUGUUUCAGGUGGUCGAUCCAUCGCUCAACCUUCUCGGAUUACUGCAUCCCUCUGUGAGAUGUGAUUCUUCAACCGGCAUAUCUUGUUCAUGUGUUUCCCGUGAUCUGUUUCUACCCUUCGUUCAAACUCCUCUCCCUCCAGCUUCUCGGUAAAGACAUUCUCUGCUGUUUAAAACGACGUUUCUGAUGUCCUGUGAUCUGUUUCUUCUUUGGCCAACCUAGAUACUCGUCUUUAAGACGUUCUCUUAGGUGACCCUUUGGAGGCUCCUCCGUUACUCCGACAAACCCAUGAUCCCGUUUCCGUUCAACUUCUUGCGUUGAUAAUGGAGUUACCUGGAGCGUCUUCCUUCUUAGGCAGAAUCGCAGCGAACCUGAAGCUUCUGUCCAGGAUAUCUUGUUUGGGCUAGAAGUAUAGUUGGGCCAAGAUGGAAUUGGGCCUUUCUCUUUACAUUUUCGAUUAGAAACAAGUAACCACAAAUCCAAAUGUUCAUGAAACACCGAUUAACUAACAAUGUUAUCCGAGACGGAUCUCACACACUGAGAUUUUCCGAGAAAGUAACAGAAGAGAAAUGAAAAGAAAAGAAAGUUUCAACAAUAUUUUUUCAUCAUUCUAAUCUUUCACACUGCUACUUUAUAUAUAAUUCAUAUUUU